UCUAUGACGUCACGCAACAUGACGAUUUGGGCCUAAUCGUCCAACUUCUUCUCUCUAAAAAACAAUGUUUGUUUCCGAAAUGAAGCAACAAGAAUUAAGACAAAAACGAAGAUUGUGACAAAAAAACAACAAAGAAACAGUAAAGUGUUCUUCUAAAAAGAACAAGAUUUCUGUAUUCAAAAAAAGUCAAGAAGAAGCCACCGUGACGACAGCCAGCGCAGGUAGAGCUGAUUGCAAAGACUGCACAUGCAUAGCUGCCAACUCGUCUGGAUAUGAAUCGCCAGCAAGUACAUCGGCGCUGACAAAGACAAGCAAAUCCAGGGCUUCUUCAGCUCGCUGAACGCCGCGACGAGCGUCCAGAGGAAGUCGUCUUCCCCUGCUUCCGCUGGUCCAUCUACGUUGGGCGUCAUUUGUGGACGACUCCAACCGUCACCGGUGUGGGUUGUAUGGACCAUUUAGGAAGGACAUCACGUCGAG